AUUGAACGCUGGCGGCAGGCCUAACACAUGCAAGACGAGCGGAUGAAGGGAGCUUGCUCCCUGAUUCAGCGGCGGACGGGUGAGUAAUGCCUAGGAAUCUGCCUGGUAGUGGGGGACAACGUUUCGAAAGGAACGCUAAUACCGCAUACGUCCUACGGGAGAAAGCAGGGGACCUUCGGGCCUUGCGCUAUCAGAUGAGCCUAGGUCGGAUUAGCUAGUUGGUGAGGUAAUGGCUCACCAAGGCGACGAUCCGUAACUGGUCUGAGAGGAUGAUCAGUCACACUGGAACUGAGACACGGUCCAGACUCCUACGGGAGGCAGCAGUGGGGAAUAUUGGACAAUGGGCGAAAGCCUGAUCCAGCCAUGCCGCGUGUGUGAAGAAGGUCUUCGGAUUGUAAAGCACUUUAAGUUGGGAGGAAGGGUUGCUGAUUAAUACUCUGCAAUUUUGACGUUACCGACAGAAUAAGCACCGGCUAACUCUGUGCCAGCCGCCGCCGUAA
rnacentral:rRNA from 1 species